rnacentral:rRNA from 1 species
AGAGUUUGAUCCUGGCUCAGGAUGAACGCUGGCGGUAUGCUUAACACAUGCAAGUCGAACGGGAUGCUUAGGCAUCUAGUGGCGGACGGGUGAGUAACGCGUGAGAAUCUGGCUCCAGGUCGGGGAUAACAGUUGGAAACGACUGCUAAUACCGGAUGUGCCGAGAGGUGAAAGAUUUAUUGCCUGGAGAUGAGCUCGCGUCUGAUUAGCUAGUUGGUGGUGUAAGGGACCACCAAGGCGUCGAUCAGUAGCUGGUCUGAGAGGAUGAUCAGCCACACUGGGACUGAGACACGGCCCAGACUCCUACGGGAGGCAGCAGUGGGGAAUUUUCCGCAAUGGGCGAAAGCCUGACGGAGCAAUACCGCGUGAGGGAGGAAGGCUCUUGGGUCGUAAACCUCUUUUCUCAAGGAAGAAGAAAGUGACGGUACUUGAGGAAUAAGCAUCGGCUAACUCCGUGCCAGCAGCCGCGGUAAUACGGAGGAUGCAAGCGUUAUCCGGAAUGAUUGGGCGUAAAGGGUCUGCAGGUGGAACUGAAAGUCUGCUGUUAAAGAGUUUGGCUUAACCAAAUAAAAGCGGUGGAAACUACAGAACUAGAGUGCGGUAGGGGCAAAAGGAAUUCCUGGUGUAGCGGUGAAAUGCGUAGAUAUCAGGAAGAACACCGGUGGCGAAAGCGUUUUGCUAGACCGUAACUGACACUGAGGGACGAAAGCUAGGGGAGCGAAUGGGAUUAGAUACCCCAGUAGUCCUAGCCGUAAACGAUGGAUACUAGGCGUGGCUUGUAUCGACCCGAGCCGUGCCGGAGCUAACGCGUUAAGUAUCCCGCCUGGGGAGUACGCACGCAAGUGUGAAACUCAAAGGAAUUGACGGGGGCCCGCACAAGCGGUGGAGUAUGUGGUUUAAUUCGAUGCAACGCGAAGAACCUUACCAAGACUUGACAUCCUGCGAAUCCUGGUGAAAGCUGGGAGUGCCUUAGGGAGCGCAGAGACAGGUGGUGCAUGGCUGUCGUCAGCUCGUGUCGUGAGAUGUUGGGUUAAGUCCCGCAACGAGCGCAACCCUCGUUUUUAGUUGCCAGCAUUAAGUUGGGCACUCUAGAGAGACUGCCGGUGACAAACCGGAGGAAGGUGAGGAUGACGUCAAGUCAGCAUGCCCCUUACGUCUUGGGCUACACACGUACUACAAUGCUACGGACAGAGGGCAGCGAGCCAGGGAUGGCAAGCGAAUCCAGAAACCGUAGCUCAGUUCAGAUCGAAGGCUGCAACUCGCCUUCGUGAAGGAGGAAUCGCUAGUAAUUGCAGGUCAGCAUACUGCAGUGAAUUCGUUCCCGGGCCUUGUACACACCGCCCGUCACACCAUGGAAGUUGGUCACGCCCGAAGUCAUUACCCCAACCGAAAGGAGGGGGAUGCCUAAGGUAGGACUGGUGACUGGGGUGAAGUCGUAACAAGGUAGCCGUACCGGAAGGUGUGGCUGGAUCACCUCCUUUUAGGGAGACCUACCCAUUGAAGAAUCGAAAGCCGAAGGCGAAUAGAGAAUCAAAUGGUCUACUCUAGGUCGAUGA